AAAAUACUACUAAAAUUCUCUAAAAUUGCAUUCUUUCUUUAAGUUUGAUAUUGAUACUUUAUCUUUAUUUUAUAACAUGUUAUCAGUACGAGACUCUACCGUCUCUUUUAUAAGAUGUUAUCAGUACGAGACUCUAUCGUCUCCAGUUUAAAGGCUAAGAAAAGAAAAUUGAAUCGGAAGGUGGAGAAGGCAAGACCGCAAGAAUUAGGCGAUCAUCACGAUUUAAAUUUCACUUUUCUACUAUUUAUUAUAAGAUAAGUAUAUUAUUAACUCAUAUUCCUUAAGUUUGAAAAGAAUAUUGAUCACAAAGUGGUGACCUUGUUGUAUGCUCAAAUUUGAGUUUAUUAUACUUUGACCCAAUACGUUAUUGGCCAAGGGUGUAUGAUGAUGAAUUUAAGUCUCAUGUCAUUAAAAAGGUAAAAUAUCAGGUAAGAGUCCCGGUACAACAUAAUGAUAAGAUAUUGAUCUCAAGUCUCAUCGAUC
rnacentral:lncRNA from 1 species